rnacentral:rRNA from 1 species
UACAGAGGGUGCGAGCGUUGUCCGGAAUCACUGGGCGUAAAGGGCGCGUAGGUGGCGACCCAAGUCCGUGGUGAAAGCUCGUCGCUCAACGACGAGUCGGCCACGGAGACUGGGUGGCUCGAGCACUGUAGGGGCAGAUGGAAUUCCGGGUGUAGCGGUGAAAUUCGUAGAUAUUCGCAAGAACACCAGUGGCGAAGGCGGCUCACUGGCCCGAUACUGACACUGAGGCACGAAAGCGUGGGGAGCAAACAGG